rnacentral:rRNA from 1 species
UACAGAGGAUGCAAGCGUUAUCCGGAAUCACUGGGCGUAAAGCGCACGUAGGCGGACUCUUAAGUCGGUGGUGAAAUCCUGGAGCUCAACUCCAGAACUGCCUUCGAUACUGAGAGUCUUGAGUCCGGGGAGAGGUGAGUGGAACUGCGAGUGUAGAGGUGAAAUUCGUAGAUAUUCGCAAGAACACCAGUGGCGAAGGCGGCUCACUGGCCCGGUACUGACGCUGAGGUGCGAAGACGUAGGGAGCAAACAGG